UACGGAGGGUGCAAGCGUUAUCCGGAUUUAUUGGGUUUAAAGGGUGCGUAGGCGGUUCGGUAAGUCAGUGGUGAAAUUUGGGGGCUUAACCCCUAACGUGCCAUUGAUACUGCCGAGCUUGAAUAUGAAUGAAGUUGGAGGAAUGUGUGGUGUAGCGGUGAAAUGCUUAGAUAUCACACAGAAGGUCGAAUGCGAAGGCAUCUGACUAAUUCAUUAUUGACGCUGAUGCACGAAAGCGUGGGGAUCAAACAGG
rnacentral:rRNA from 1 species